CUAUGGAGUAUAUUAAUACACUAACACGAUAUACACCUGUUACAUAUAACGGUGAAACAAUUAAAACCCAACAAGACAAGUUAAACCCAUUAAAGCAAAUUUAUAACUUAAAAAUUGUUGGUCGGAUUCUAUUCAGUUAUCAAGGGGCAUUUUUUUUGAAUCAUUAUUGUUCUGUAUAUUUUUUAUAUUUAUCUAAGAACAAUCUAACUCCUUCUUAAAAUAUAAAUAUAAACAAGAUCUGUUUAAUCUUGUUCAUAAAAUAAUAAAUCAUUGAUGAUAGCAACAGGUCGUCACUGAUUUUUUUUAUAGAAUAUUUUGAUGAAAUCAAAAAACGCAAUUUAGGAAAUCUUUAUUGAUAUUUUUUUGUCAUAAGUUUUCAUAUUAAAUUUAAUUCCUCGUAUUUCUUAAAAAAUAAAAACAACUUUUGUUAUAUAGAAACAAGAUUUAGCUAGUCUUGUUUUUAUUUUUUUUAUCUUUAAAAAUUCUAAUCUUUAAAUCUAAUAAAUUUCAUUAUCAGAAAUAAGAUAUUUAUUAGAUUUAAAUUUACUAAAUUAUUGCUAUAAAAAUUUGGCAAAUCUUAUAAAAUUUUUACGUAGAUUUUCGUUUGAGCCAAAAGUUCAAAAACUAAAAUCGAGCAAAUAAUUAAGAAAUUGGUAUCAGUAUUUAAGCCUUAACGAAUUGAUUUUGUAUGGGAUUAAAGAAGUUCAAGGGAACGAAGCUAAUUUUGUGUAAUCUGGAUUUUUUUCGAACUUUUAGUUUUUCUUAAGUAAGUUCGGAAAUACAUCCAUUAACUCUUCAUAUAUUCUAUAUCAAUUUCUCAGUCUAUUACUUUUCUGAUUUAGUUUUUUGUACCUUGGGUUGUAACCAAAAUGUACAUAAAGGUCUAAUAACAGUUGGUUUAUUUUAUUAAAAGACUUUUUAGCAGCUAAGAAACUACCAAUUACUGAAUUAUAGUUUUCAACUAUGUUGCUGGUAUAAACUAAUGUCCGUAAAGCUUUAGAAAAAGUAAAGAGUUUUUCUAUGUUGUCCAUCGCUCUUUCGACAACUUCAACUGCGCGCUUGUUAGAACCGCCUCACUUAUUUUUUAAAUAUUCAAAACUGUUUUUUGCGCUUUCUCAAUUGUCUGCGCCAUAUAUGUUUUUUAAGUCUCUUAAAAAAUCAGACUUCAUAGAAUGAGAUACAUAUUUUGCAGCAUUUCUAAUCAUAUGAACGGUGCAAGUAAUAUGCAUAGCUUUUGGAUAAACGUUCUCAAUUGCUUCUUUUAAACCCUUUAAUCCAUCUGAAACAAUAAUACAUGUUUCAGACAAGCCGCGUUCUUUCAAAUUAUCAAGAAUGUUCAUUCAUUCUGUAGCGGAUUUAGUGUUGCUUACGUAUAGUGCUAUAAGUUCUUUUUGCCCGUCAGUAUUGAUUCCUACCACCACAUAAAGCGUUUUAUUUACGUACUUUGAACGUCCGCUUUCUUCAGUUUUGAUCUUAAAAACCUUACCGUCAAUCAUUAUGAUUGGGUAGUUGUUUUCUAGCGGUCUUUCGUGCCAAUCGCGCAUCUCAUCUUGAACAGUUUGGAUACAAUUUGAAAUUACGCUAGGAGUUACUUUGAACCUAUACAUUGACGUUAUUUGAUCAGCAAUUUCAUUGUUUGACAAACGAGUAGAAGCUAAAGAAAGAACAUCUAAGAUAAACUUAUCAUGAAUAAUUCUUUGAUAUUUCGGGAUAAUUUGAGAGUCUUGAUUUUCGCCGCGAAUUCUUUUCAUUUUUAUAGGAAUUUCUUCUUGCCCUCACUUAACAUUUCUAGUGUAUGAUCCGUUUUGAUACACGUUUUCAUCAUUAUCAGCAUUUUCUCUCAAUAAUUCUAGUUUGCCAACGUGUUCACCAUCAACCAGAGCCUGUAAAACAGGCUUAGCAAUAUAAUCAGUGAUGUUUAAUAGUUGCUUUCCGCUACUAGGACCAAAUUGUUUUACAAAUUCAACGAUUAAUUUUUGAAUCUGUUUCAUUUGUUCGUCUUUUGAAUUCAUUUUUGUUUAACGUUUAUAAAAUUAUAUUAACCUUUCUUUUUUUGAGUUAAUUAAUUGUUUUACACAAAAUUGAAUUCGGUGCCAAGUUCAAUUUUAGAGUUUAGGUUAAAGAAAAUCUAGCUUUUUAAAUAUUUAUUAAGUCAAAUAAAAUGCAGCAACUAUGAUUGUUGCAUUUUUAUUUAUAUAAGCUAAUAACGCCGUUUCUUUAGAUAAAUUUAUUAAAGUUAAUCGAUGGCUAUAAAUUAUGAAACAGGUUAGAAAAAAAUAGAAUAAGUAUGAAAAAAAAUUAAAUAUAAAAAAUAUUAAAAAAAAUUUUAAUAAUUUUCUUGUGAUAUUUCAUUUGUUGUGCUAUAAUCUAUAAGGCUUAUAUAGCUACAUUGUUCUUUGAAAACUGAAUACGACAAAUCUUUCUAGUCCGAAAUUUGAUUAAAGUAUCAAAUCAAAUUUCAUAUAAUAUAGAUUCAAUAAAAAUAGCU
rnacentral:misc_RNA from 1 species